GAUGAACGCUGGCGGCGUGCCUAAUACAUGCAAGUCGAGCGAAUGGAUUAAGAGCUUGCUCUUAUGAAGUUAGCGGCGGACGGGUGAGUAACACGUGAGUAACCUGCCCAUAAGACUGGGAUAACUCCGGGAAACCGGGGCUAAUACCGGAUAACAUUUUGAACCGCAUGGUUCGAAAUUGAAAGGCGGCUUCGGCUGUCACUUAUGGAUGGACCCGCGUCGCAUUAGCUAGUUGGUGAGGUAACGGCUAACCAAGGCAACGAUGCGUAGCCGACCUGGGAGGGUGAUCGGCCACACUGGGACUGAGACACGGCCCAGACUCCUACGGGAGGCAGCAGUAGGGAAUCUUCCGCAAUGGACGAAAGUCUGACGGAGCAGCGCCGCGUGAGUGAUGAAGGCUUUCGGGUCGUAAAACUCUGUUGUUAGGGAAGAACAAGUGCUAGUUGAAUAAGCUGGCACCUUGACGGUACCUAACCAGAAAGCCACGGCUAACUACGUGCCAGCCGCCGCCGUAA
rnacentral:rRNA from 1 species